UACAGAGGGUGCGAGCGUUGUCCGGAUUUAUUGGGCGUAAAGAGCUCGUAGGCGGUCUGUCGCGUCUGCUGUGAAAACUCGGGGCUUAACUGUGGGCGUGCGGGCGAUACGGGCAGACUUGAGUACUGCAGGGGAGACUGGAAUUCCUGGUGUAGCGGUGGAAUGCGCAGAUAUCAGGAAGAACACCUAUGGCGAAGGCAGCUCUCUGGGACGGUACUGACGCUGAGACGCGAAAGCGUGGGGAGCGAACAGG
rnacentral:rRNA from 1 species